rnacentral:rRNA from 1 species
AGCGAACGCUGGCGGCAGGCCUAACACAUGCAAGUCGAACGAACCUUUCGGGGUUAGUGGCGGACGGGUGAGUAACACGUGGGAACGUGCCUUUAGGUUCGGAAUAACUCAGGGAAACUUGUGCUAAUACCGAAUGUGCCCUUCGGGGGAAAGAUUUCUCGCCUUUAGAGCGGCCCGCGUCUGAUUAGCUAGUUGGUUGAGGUAAUGGCUCACCAAGGCGACGAUCAGUAGCUGGUCUGAGAGGAUGAUCAGCCACAUUGGGACUGAGACACGGCCCAAACGCCUACGGGAGGCAGCAGUGGGGAAUCUUGCGCAAUGGGCGAAAGCCUGACGCAGCCAGGCCGCGUGAAUGAUGAAGGUCUUAGGAUUGUAAAAUUCUUUCACCGGGGACGAUAAUGACGGUACCCGGAGAAGAAGCCCCGGCUAACUUCGUG